CAAGCGAAUAAGCGCACACGGUGGAUGCCUAGGCGGUCAGAGGCGAUGAAGGACGUGGUAGCCUGCGAAAAGUGUCGGGGAGCUGGCAACAAGCUUUGAUCCGGCAAUAUCCGAAUGGGGAAACCCACUGCUUCGGCAGUAUCCUGCAGUGAAUUCAUAGCUGCUGGAAGCGAACCCGGUGAACUGAAAUAUCUAAGUAACCGGAGGAAAAGAAAUCAACCGAGAUUCCCUAAGUAGUGACGAGCGAACGGGGAGCAGCCCUUAAGCUGGAAUGGCUUUAGAAAAACAAUCUGGAAAGAUUGGCCAUAGAAGGUGAUAGCCCUGUAUUUAAAAGGGCCACUCCAGUGAAGACGAGUAGGGCGGGGCACGUGAAACCCUGUCUGAAUAUGGGGGGACCAUCCUCCAAGGCUAAAUACUCUACCGGCCAUU
rnacentral:rRNA from 1 species